rnacentral:rRNA from 1 species
GUCGAAGGGGCAUCGGGGAGAGUGCUUGCACUCUCUGCCGGCGACUGGUGCACGGGUGAGUAACACGUAUGCAACCUGCCCUCCACAGGGGGACAACCUUCCGAAAGGGAGGCUAAUCCCGCGUAUAUUCCCUGGGGGCAUCCCUGGGGGAGGAAAGGGUUACCGGUGGAGGAUGGGCAUGCGGCGCAUUAGGCAGUAGGCGGGGUAACGGCCCACCUAACCGACGAUGCGUAGGGGUUCUGAGAGGAAGGUCCCCCACACUGGUACUGAGACACGGACCAGACUCCUACGGGAGGCAGCAGUGAGGAAUAUUGGUCAAUGGGCGGGAGCCUGAACCAGCCAAGCCGCGUGAAGGAAGAAGGCGCCAGGCGUCGUAAACUUCUUUUGUCGGGGAACAAAGGGCGCCACGCGUGGCGUUGUGAGUGUACCCGAAGAAAAAGCAUCGGCUAACUCCGUGCCAGCAGCCGCGGUAAUACGGAGGAUGCGAGCGUUAUCCGGAUUUAUUGGGUUUAAAGGGUGCGUAGGCGGUCCGGAAAGUCAGCGGUAAAAGCCCGGGGCUCAACCCCGGCGAGCCGUUGAAACUGU